rnacentral:rRNA from 1 species
CAGCAGCCGCGGUAAUACGGGGGGGGUAAGCGUUGUUCGGAAUUACUGGGCGUAAAGGGCUCGUAGGCGGCCAACUAAGUCAUACGUGAAAUCCCUCAGCUUAACUGGGGAACUGCGUGUGAUACUGGAUGGCUUGGAUUUGGGAGAGGGAUGCGGAAUUCCAGGUGUAGCGGUGAAAUGCGUAGAUAUCUGGAGGAACACCGGUGGCGAAGGCGGCAUCCUGGACCAAUAUUGACGCUGAGGAGCGAAAGCUAGGGGAGCAAACGGGAUUAGAUACCCCGGUAGUCCUAGCCCUAAACGAUGAAUGCUUGGUGUGGCGGGUAUCGAUCCCUGCCGUGCCGAAGCUAACGCAUUAAGCAUUCCGCCUGGGGAGUACGGUCGCAAGACUGAAACUCAAAGGAAUUGACGG